CUAUAUAUAUUGUUCAUCUUUCAUCUUCGAUUCCUUCACCACCAAGCAAAAAUAUUCAUGGCGUACGUUCAGAAAUACGUGAUUCUCACGCUUCUGCUCCUUUCAAUCUUCUGCAUCAACCAAACAGUCAAGUGCGAUGACGAUAACGAUGACGAUGAUCAUUUAGAUGAAGAAGACAUCCUUCUCGCUGGAAUCAAUAGCUACAGAGCAACCCUAAACUUAACAGCUCUAAUUGAAAAUGAGCGAGCUGAAUGCCUAGCUGAUGAAAUCGCAGACCAAUUUAAAUACCAACCAUGCACAAACACAACUGGCUCCAACACCGUACCUGGAACUGAACCAGAAAUUUUCAAUUAUCCAAACCUUUUACAGAAAUGUCAUUUGAAUGUCAACACUACCAGAGAUGGUGUUAUUCUUCCUGCUUGUGUUCCAAAUCUUGACUCCACCCUAGUACUUUCCAACUACACUAUGUCCCGGUAUUCAAAUUACUUAAAUGACACCAAGUAUACCGGAGUCGGGAUUGGUUCCGAAGACAAUUGGAUUGUCGUUGUGUUGACUACAAACACCCCGGAGGGCAGGUUUUGGUAGUAAUGUUGUAAACUAAAUAAAAAAGAAAGAAGAAGGGUUCUGAUUUCAACCAUUUGUAUUUUAUGUUGUCUCCCUGUUGGAGCUAUUAAAUAAAAGACUACCAAAGGGCUUGUAGCCUAGAGGUAUCAUGUGUGUAAAUUAAACUAUUAAAUAAAAGACUACCAAAGGGCUUCUAGCCUAGAGGCUAGAAGUAUCAUGUGUGUAAAUGGUUUGAAUUAAA